CUUGGUCAUUUAGAGGAAGUAAAAGUCGUAACAAGGUUUCCGUAGGUGAACCUGCGGAAGGAUCAUUAAUGAAUUAUAAUGCUGAGGUUGUAGCUGGCCUUUCAAUCGAGAGGUAUUGUGCACGCCUUGGUUAUCCCAAAUUCUUACACCUCUGUGCACUUUACAUGGAAGCUUUAUUACUUGGUUUGUAUGGAAAGGGAUCGACUCUUAACUGAGUUGAACCCAAGUAAGUCGACUAAGUAAUGAAUCAACUUCUGUGGUUCAUACAUUUAUACCAGUCAGUUUAGAAUGUUUAUACCGCGUAUAACGCAAACUAUAUACAACUUUCAGCAACGGAUCUCUUGGCUCUCGCAUCGAUGAAGAACGCAGCGAAAUGCGAUAAGUAAUGUGAAUUGCAGAAUUCAGUGAAUCAUCGAAUCUUUGAACGCACCUUGCACUCCUUGGUAUUCCGAGGAGUAUGCCUGUUUGAGUGUCAUGGUAUUCUCAAUUCUAAUAACUUUUGUUAUCGGAAUUGGACUUGGAGGUUUUUUGCCGGUGCUUCGGCGGCUGGCUCCUCUUAAAUGCAUUAGUGUGAAUCAAGUUACACAUUACUCAGUGUGAUAAUUAUCUGCGCUGUGUUUCAAUGUUGACUUUAUAAGUGUUCAUGCUUAUAACCCGUCUGUUGACUCAGACACUUUACUAUGAAAUCUGACCUCAAAUCAGGUAGGACUACCCGCUGAACUUAAGCAUAU
rnacentral:rRNA from 1 species